rnacentral:rRNA from 1 species
UACGUAGGGAGCAAGCGUUGUUCGGAAUUACUGGGCGUAAAGGGCUCGUAGGCGGCCAACUAAGUCGGAUGUGAAAUCCCCAGGCUUAACCUGGGAGCUGCAUCCGAUACUGGAUGGCUUGAAUCCGGGAGAGGGAUGCAGAAUUCCAGGUGUAGCGGUGAAAUGCGUAGAUAUCUGGAGGAAUACCGGUGGCGAAGGCGGCAUCCUGGACCGGCAUUGACGCUGAUGAGCGAAAGCUAGGGGAGCAAACGGG